AGAGAAGCUUCAAGAUCCAAAGAAAUGACUCUUCGGUGGUGAGAGGCUGUGUUGGCUCUGACGGGCUAGGAAGGAGCCUUCCAGGGUGCCCUCAAAUCAAAUUCCUAGGAGGCCUAGAGGACACCUAUCCUUCCUGGGCUAACAGAGGAGGCUCUCCUUCUGGGCAGGAUCUGGGAUAAUCAAAUAGUCGAUCAACAAAUAUUUACUGAUGCCAAAUCUGUGCCAAGUCCUGCACUGGGGACUGCGGAUCCAACAAUGAAGCAGACCCGAAUCUCUGCCCUCAAGGGCUCACAGUCUGGCAGGUUAGCUAAGCUGUUGGGAGAAGAGUGAUGAAUGGAAGAGGAUGUCAUAGGUAAGGGUGCCUAAAUAACCAAGAAACAAAA